UACGAAGGGGGCUAGCGUUGCUCGGAAUUACUGGGCGUAAAGGGCGCGUAGGCGGACAGUUUAGUCAGAGGUGAAAGCCCAGGGCUCAACCUUGGAAUAGCCUUUGAUACUGGCUGUCUUGAGUUCGGGAGAGGUGAGUGGAAUGCCGAGUGUAGAGGUGAAAUUCGUAGAUAUUCGGCGGAACACCAGUGGCGAAGGCGACUACCUGGCCUGUUCUUGACGCUGAGGCGCGAAAGCUAGGGGAGCAAACGGG
rnacentral:rRNA from 1 species